GAGGAAUAUUGGUCAAUGGAGGCAACUCUGAACCAGCCAAGUCGCGUGAAGGAAGACGGCCCUACGGGUUGUAAACUUCUUUUGUACAGGAAUAAAACCAUCCACGCGUGGAUAUUUGCAUGUACUGUACGAAUAAGGAUCGGCUAACUCCGUGCCAGCAGCCGCGGUAAUACGGAGGAUCCGAGCGUUAUCCGGAUUUAUUGGGUUUAAAGGGUGCGCAGGCGGGAUGUUAAGUCGGCGGUGAAAUUUUGCGGUUCAACCGUAAAAGUGCCUUCGAAACUGGCAUUCUUGAGUAUAGAUGAAGUAGGCGGAAUUUGUGGUGUAGCGGUGAAAUGCAUAGAUAUCACGAGGAACUCCGAUUGCGCAGGCAGCUUACUAAACUAUAACUGACGCUCAUGCACGAAGGCGUGGAGAUCAAAC
rnacentral:rRNA from 1 species